UUCGCCUGUUUAUCAAAAACAUGGUUUUUUGAGAAUUAAUUUAAGAUUAGUUCUGCUCAAUGAUUUAAAUUAAAUAGCCGCAGUAUUUUGACUGUGCUAAGGUAGCAUAAUCAAUUGUUUUUUAAUUAGGAACUGGAAUGAAGGAAUUGAUGAGAUUAAAACUGUCUAUAAUAAAUAAUUAAAAUUUAAAUUUUAAGUAAGAAUUCUUAAAUAAAAUUAUGGGACGAGAAGACCCUAUAGAAUUUGAUAUAAUUUUUUAAAUAAAUAAUUAAUAUAAAAAUUUAAAAAAUUAAUAUUUUAUUGGGAGGAUAGUUAAAUUUAAUAAACUUUAAUUAAUAUUUUAUAACAUUAAUUUAUGAAAAAUUGAAUAAUUUAUAAUUAUAAAUAUAAAAUUAAUAUAGAAUUAAUUACCUUAGGGAUAACAGCGUAAUAUUUUUAAAAAGAUCGUAUUGAUAAAAAUGUUUGCGACCUCGAUGUUGAAUUAAAAUAAAAAUUAAAUGAAGAAGUUUAAUAUUUUAGUCUGUUCGACUAUUAAAAUUUUACAUGAUCUGAGUUCAGACCGGG
rnacentral:rRNA from 1 species